CGAGUCAACCGGGUGGCCGCUGGACGCGAAGGCGUCUGGAGGAAAGUCCGGGCUUCGCAGGGCAGGGUGCCAGGUAACGCCUGGGGGGCGAGAGCCUACGGAUAGUGCCACAGAAAAUAUACCGCCGGUAGCCGCUCUGGGGCGCGGGUAAGGGUGAAAAGGUGCGGUAAGAGCGCACCGCGCCGGCCAACGCCGGUGGCAGGGUAAACCCCACCCGAAGCAAGACCAAAUAGGGAGACGCCGCCGGGCCGCAAGGCCUUGCAACGCACGGCCCGUGCGAGUCUCCGGGUAGGUCGCUAGAGGCAGACGGUGACGGCUGUCCCAGAUGAAUGGUCACCGCGGGCGGUUCGCCGCCCGCACAGAACCCGGCUUACAGGUUGACUCGCCUU
rnacentral:RNase_P_RNA from 1 species